rnacentral:tRNA from 1 species
ACGGGUGUAGCUCAGUUGGUAGAGCAUCGGUCUCCAAAACCGAGUGCCGGGAGUUCGAGUCUCUCCACCCGUG